rnacentral:rRNA from 1 species
UACGUAGGGGGCUAGCGUUGUCCGGAAUCAUUGGGCGUAAAGCGCGUGUAGGCGGCCCGGUAAGUCCGCUGUGAAAGUCGGGGGCUCAACCCUCGGAUGCCGGUGGAUACUGUCGGGCUCGAGUACGGAAGAGGCGAGUGGAAUUCCUGGUGUAGCGGUGAAAUGGCGCAGAUAUCAAGGAGGAACACCAAUUGCGAAGGCAGCUCGCUGGGACGUUACUGACGCUGAGACGCGAAAGCGUGGGGAGCAAACAGG